AGAUCACUAUGAGAGUCAGAAUCCACCUCUUGUAUCUUUUCAGAGCUAUAUAGAGGUCUAACAUGAGAAUAAAGCUAUCCUAAUCUGUUGGGAUGUGGCUGAUUGGUUGUAAAAAUGUAGAGAAAUUAUGCUGUCCAGGUGCUGCCAGUUGAAUGCCACAAGACAGUGUUUGAAAAGAUUUGUAAGAUGUUAAUCUUAUACAUUUCCAGCAGGCUCUGUUUGCUUACCAUGUUGAUUUCUCAUCAGUAUUUUGCCUGCUUUUUACAUAUUCUCAUACUGAAUCAUUGCCUUGAGGCCUUAUUAGUCAUAAACUGUUGAAAUGUGGACUCCACCUUUUAUUGUUAUGAUUAAAAAAAGAAAAGAAAAAACAUGUGAUGAUUGAAGUCAUAGGCAAGAUAGGUUUAUACAAUUGUGAAUGGCAUGGACAAAGCAGAAAAAAAUUUCCCUUCUAAAUUUUUAGACAUUUAAUGAGAAUGAUUGCCUGUAGAAAAAUGUAGACAGGACUUCUUUGUACAAUGUAUAAUUCAUUAAUAGAAUUGAGUACCAUUCACUCAAAUGUCUUGUUAAAAGGAUUGGAGAUAUUACAGAAAAUGGGACAAACUACAUAGUAUUUUAAAGAUGUAACUAGCAGCUACAUCUUAUUAUUUCUUAUUAAUUUUUUUUUAUGAAAGUACAUGGAAUCUAAUCAGGAUCAGGAUGCUAUCUUGUGACUGUGGAUAGGGGCACUCUAAACUUUUGUUCCUCUAUAGUGUAUAAUUCCGAUUCUACUGGAGUCACAUGUAGGGAUAGUAUAUUUUAAUGCACCAAAGAAAAUAUAUCUGCAUACUAAUUUGCAUAUAAUUUAAUUAUAGAUUUGAUUUUGCAUCCCCCCCUUUUAGAUUACUUAGUCCCCCAAACAUAACCCUAUACCAUUGGAUGGGUUUUAUUAGGUAUUGCUUUCAGCCAUGUAAUGCGCUUUUUUAAGACAAAAAAGGGAAAUCUAUUCCAUUUGCACAGCAAAUAAUGUACACAACACCCCAAAGCUGAAUAUGAAACCCAAACCACCAGGCUAGAAAAGUGAAAGAUAAAAAGACCAAAUAAUGACAUAAGACAGACGAUGUGUUAAAGCACUAUACAAAUGACUUCAAAUAAAGUAAAACAAAAAAAAAGUCCUUUUCCCUUUAUUCUUGCUGCACUUUAUUUAUGCAUAUUUCUUAUUAAGAGUGGAUCUUUUAAAAAUCUUUUAGUGCAAUUGGAUUUUUCAGCAAAUAUGCACAGAUGUCUUUCCAUUACUUCUCUACUUUGUUUACCUACCAACCAUAUACCCAACAAAUGUAAUUACUUGAAGAUGAGGCUGUUUGAAUAAAGAAGAGCUGGUACCUAACUGGAUAGCUGAAAAAGUACAACAAAAAGAUGGGGGACAAUCCAAAAUUAGGAGAAGGAAAUCAUCACUGAUUUUGGACAGCUUGUGACACAUUUGAGUUUCCUUAAGAUUUCACAUUUGAACAAGACAACAGUAAAAUAUUCUGUAUAUUUAAUUUUUUGGUUUAACUGCUGGUUUUAAAAGAAGUUACUUAUAUCUGAAAAGCAGGUGUAUAUAAAUCAUAUUGAUCAUUGGUGUAUCUGCCCCUUUCUGUGCUUCCACAUUGUUUUCAGUGUUUGGGUUCACAGAUCGCAUUAUGACUAAAUCAUAAUGACAUACUAGAUUAUUUUACGGUGCAGUAUAUAAACCAGAUUUACUUUUUUUGGCAUAACUUGUUUCAUGCUAGUCCCUCUGAUGUAAUUUGUAAGCCUUUGUUAAAGAUGAGUAUACUCUGCAGUACAAACAUAACCAAUGUGACUUGGUUUUACCACUAAAGGAGAAUAUUUGCAGCUCAGGGUUGAAAUGAGGGGUCCUUGGUGCUCUCUGAGCUUGGCUGUUUUCUUGCAGAUGUUUCAUUAUCCUACUAGGUAAAACAUCAAUGACAGUGAUGACUGAGGAUGUUACCUAGUUUGGGUAAUGAAAUGUCUUCAAGAAAACAACCAAGCUCAGGGAGCAUCAACUUGGUUUUAGUUUAGCAUGUUGUGUGAAUAUAGUUAAUUGUGAUGUAUUUAGUAAGCCAGGGCUUAUCAGAAUGUGCAGACCAGAUUGUAAGUAUACAGAGGGCUCUUGCACUCUGUAAAAAGUCAUUCACACAGCUAGAGGGGUGGGCAAUAAACUUAGCUUGUAGCAAAAUCACCUUUCCUUAGAUGGGCUUUCUGAUACCCAAUCAGGUUCCAUUGUUGCUUUGAUCCAAACUAAAAUUUCUGAGCCAACUCAGGACACAGGAAGACAGCCUAACUCUUAUUUUAUUUUAUUUAUUUUUAUUUGUCACAACAAUAUAUAUAAGCAUCACACAAAAAGAUUAUAUAGUGUAUAAACAUAUAUAUGAGGGAAUAUUAGGAGGUACUAUUCUACUCUACUAUUCUACUGCUAUGGGUGGUGAUGAUAGAAAGGCAAUGCAGGAUGUAACAGUGGACCUCAGUUUGACUUUAAGAGAUCCUCACCAAGGUGUGUUUGGGGGUUUCAGCAUCUUGGACCAGCAAGGCUUUUUUGGGCACUUGACAAACCCAGUCCUUGUGCCUAACAGGAACACUUUCUGACAAGAUAAAUAACAGGCAUGAAGGACCUGAUCCUUAAAGUAAUAGACAAUUCAGUUUCAAAAGAGGAGUGGUUGUUUCCAUUUAGAGAAAAACAGGGUUCCCAACUUGAAGACAUCAUGGGGAGGACAAUGGACAGGGGAGAGCUAUGUUCUUUAUGCUUUGUUUGUUGGUUCCACCAGCCAAUCCUGUAAUCUGAUUAAAAGACUUGGUGGCUCUCACUGCAAGCAAACAGUGCUCUUUUGUGUUCAGUUUGAAGCUCCAUCGUAGUCAGGGAACUCUUUUAAGCUACAUUAUGAUCUGUUCACACAGUGCUUUAGCAAAAAAGAACAUCUGUAUUGGGUUAGCAUGGCUAGUCAAAAUGUUUGCUAGAACUAUUUAAUAGAAAAAUCAAUAGCUAGCACUUCUCAGCUGGUUUCUUUGACACAGAAGAGGGAAUGAGAAAAAAGGCUUUUUGGCAUGGAAAGAAAAAGAAAGAAAGUGGGGAGGGGGAAUCUGGAGCACAUCCAACAUUGAAAGGGGAAUGGAAGAGAAUAAAGGGUGAGGCAUGGAUAUGUUCUCUGCUUUCAGAAAGUUGCAGGGAAUUCGAUGGUUGUCACAGGGAUAGUGCGCCCCUCUAAAGCAGUUGUGACUGAGGCCUUAUUUAGUGGUAUAUUCUUAGGUCUUGAACUUGAUUUAUGGCUGUCAGCUUCUCCCUCACUGUGUUCUGACAAGCUCUGCAGCUAGCAGCAUGGACUUGUUCAAGCUUGAAGUGACAUUUCUGAGCAGCCUCAGUUUUCCCACCCCCUCUGCAGUGAAGAAACUACUUCAAACUAUGACUGGUUCUUCCACUGGACUGAAAAAAAAUCUUUAUCCUGGAUUAUCAUGGUAACAAAGAAUUGUUGUCUCUUGCUUCAGAGGGAUUAGAGAGGAAGGGUUGAUUUUCUGAAGAGAAUUUACUCACAUAUGCUAGUAGAAAUCUAUCAAAUCUCCUUACUUAUUUUUCAAGUAACCUGCAUGGAUAGUUUAUAUGGGUCCAGGGACAUUUUAGUCUCAGAUUCACCCUCUACAAAGAGUUAGUUUAAAAGGCAAUACUUAACUCAAAUGCCCUCAGUGACCGUCAUAUGGGAAGGGGGCUGUUGAAUUUAGGGCUGGAUUUUUCCUCUGAUUUUUUUCUCUCUCUGUUGCUAGAUCACAUUGGAUGAAACAUCCAUAUUAUAUUAAGUUAGCCUGCUGCAGUCCUGGAUUUCAGAUUAAUUUAUGAAAUGUUAUUAUUUAUAUCAGGGCUUCUUAAACCAUGGGCUAUGAUUCUUUCCCUCUCUGUGUGAAAUUUGAAGAUGGCUUCACUUGUAGGGUGCUUGUAUAUGCAAAACUUACCCUAGCCAAACAUAGAGACUUUGGGUUUGUAGGCCCUCCCGCCUACCUUCUAUUCUUAUUGUCCAAGGUCAAUAUCCUUUAUCCUAGAAAAAUCCGUAAGGGCAGCCUCACUCCGCAUGCUCCCAGUGCAAAACUGGCAAGCAGUUAAAGGCACUCCUUAAAGGCACCCCUUUGUCUAUUAAUGUCAAUCUCUGAGGUAAGUCAGGUCAAAAAACAGAUUCCAGAAAUGCUACUUUUUGUGGUGGAGUAUUUAACAGAAAUUCAAAACCUAUCUCAAACCUUCAUUGCCCCUUUUUAAGGACAGCAAUGUCAAGAUGGGGCCAUUCUGAGUCUCUAUUUCAUACUUUUUACUUUCUCAGGGCAAGCGACCAUUUCACCUCUCCGAUCUGUUAAGUGUUCAAUUGCAUUGGGCUACAGGGACACUUUGAAAGUAUGCAGAGCAAAGCAAGGAUUUCCACUAGCCGAAGUCCAAGGCAAAACGGGCGAAGGAGACGAUUUAAAGGGGGGUUGCUGUUGCCAGCGGGCUGGAGGAGCAAUAAGAAUUUCAGACCCUGUGAAACCAGAAGCUUACCUCACCUGUCAACGUCUUACUUCUUUGUACAAGAGUUUAAGCGUGGUCUAGAACAUUCUGUGGAUCACAGUAAAUCCUGAAGCAAGAGCUGAUGAAGUACUGCGAGAAAACCAGGUUUUUAAUCUAUCACUAGAUUCUGGUCAAAUGGAAGAACAUUAAAAGAACCAACCAGAACUUCAAGAGGAGAAAAGAAACAACAACAACAACCAGACCGAGCAAUUUUCACCAAGCAAUUGCUACUAAAAGGGCACAUUAUUAAUUUAGAACAUAUUUGCUGAUCCCUCUGUUUGUAAGUCAUAUUCUCCAUUAGCACUCAGUGGAAGAAGGUUUGCUGGCUAUGAGCUGGAAUCACUGAAGCUCCUGAGACUCCCCUUUGCUUCUUUUCUCUUUCCUUUGUACAAUUCCCCCCUCUGACUUUCUCUGACUUUACCAUUGGUCCAUGACUGCUCAGGAUAUUGCGAACAAUGGUGUACUUCCCUGCAAGAAGUAUUUGUCCAAGGAUGCCACAUUUAAAAAGAAAAUAAAAUGCCAAGAGUUCAGCUCACCAUCCAGCCAUAGAUGAUCCAAACAAUCUGUCUUGUCAUCAGAGGUCAUAACAAGAGGUUGCUGCAAGCAUAUACCUUGCAUUGAGAAGCUUAUAUUCACAGCGUCUUAAAACAAACUAAAGAUAUAACCCCCCCCCUACCUUUCACACACACAAUUUGCUUGUAUCAAAUAGUUAUCUAAUCCAACUGGGAUUUUCCUGGAUUAUGACAUUUCUUGGAAGAUUUAAAAAGAAUUGGUAGGAGGCUCAGGUAAUGUAGAAGCAGGUAAGGUGAGAGUCAAACAAAAAAGAGUUUCCAGAGAAGCAAGUAGUAUAUAUAUUUUUCAAGUAUUUCUGAUGUAUUUGGGCAUGAUGUCUUCUGAAUGUUUAUAGAAAGGAAUGUUUCUAAAUGUUGAACAGAUAAUUUUAAAUUUUCACAAUCCAUUUCAUCUCUUUUCCUUCUCUAAAAUUAUUGAUCUCAUACCCAAACUCUCCUGAAAAUUUAGUUGGCAUACAGAAACAUGGUCCUAUAAUUUCCAGAGAUUAACAUCCACAGCAUUCCUUUCACUGCAAUUUCUAUACCACCAACCCCAAUUUAUCAUGUUUCUCUGUUUGUUAGGAUCUUGAACACUAGGAGAUGACCACUAGAUAGUAGUAAUGGUUGCUGUUCUCUGGACUUAGUCAACCUUCUGUGAAAAUUAUUCCUAAAUUUCAGGGCCACAGAACACAAUAUUGCAAGUGUUAUUUGAUGAAUAGAAAAGAUGAACAGAAAAGAACAAUGACUUGAUAUCACUCAUCCUAUUCUUUUCCUGCCCAUGUAAAUUUAGAUAUGUCACCAAGGAUUGCAUUACUGUAGCUGGUAGAAAAACAGGGUAUAAAUGAAACAAAAAAAAAGGAAUUGAUUGUAAAUCAAUCUAAGAUGGCGCCGACGAAGGCUGCCUCGGUGAAAUGCUCUCUAAUUGUUUCUUUAUUUCUAAUUAUUCUCUGUGACUCACUACGGAUUUCCUACUCACGAGACCAUCUGCUAAAAAUUAAGGAACAUUUCUUUAAGGAGCAGCUUUCUUUAAUCUCACCCCCGCCUGUCUUUACAAACACGGAGGAGAUUCUAACACAGGAGGAGGCAAUUCCCACGGAGCCAUGGAUUACUAAAAAAACCAAACGAAGGAAACGAGGUAAAAGAUCUGGGACCUUAAUCAAGCUAAGAACUCGCACUAAAACUCCUCUGCCUUCAAUUUUCCUAACAAAUAUACGCUCACUUGCAAAUAAGAUGGAUGAAAUACUCCUCUUAAACAAAUACUGUUAUGUAUUUAUGUUUGUACCUUUAAAUAUUUGAGCGGGAAAUCAGCACGUUGCUGAUUGGACGAAGCCUCCAGCAGAACUGUAUAAAAGGAGAGGUUUUUCCCCCAGCCUGUUGCUGGGUUCACCCUAUAUUAAAGAGCUGUUGUCACUACCCUGGUCUCCAGCCUCGUUACUUCCAGAACAUAACAUUGGCGACGAAGGUGGGAUAUCGAGGCUGAGAAGAACCAGAACCGAGCUGAAGCACGAUAGACCCGAACCCCGCAAACUCAGGGCAGAAAAGCGGAGAUGGCCAGUUACACUCCGCCCGCACCGUUUGACCCGGCGAAAGAGAAAUGGGGAACGUAUAUGACCCGUUUCGAAAGCUUUCUAGAAGCCAACGAACUGCACGGAGUUCCAGAUAACCGAAAAAGGGCUUAUUUCCUAAGCCACUGCGGUCCGGAGGUCAUUGAUAUC